rnacentral:sRNA from 1 species
UUCCCACCUCCACCCGCGAAGUCCGAGCACCCCGCGCCCGGCGUCUUCACUCCCUCGCGUUCGCUGACGAGGAAGGUCCCCAUACCGCGAACUGGUGCCUUCGGAAUAUGAUGGCAAAUCACCUUGUAAAGCCUGAUAAUAGAAAUUGCAAGAGGCCAAGAGAAUUGGAGUCUCCAGUGCCAGAUAGUCCACAGCUGUCCUCUCUUGGAAAAUCAGAUUCAUCUUUCUCUGAAAUUUCCGGACUAUUUUAUAAAGAUGAAGCCUUGGAGAAAGAUUUAAAUGGUACAAUCAUUGGUUUGAUGGGAUGGCGCUGCUUCACCAGUUCAGAAUGGCAAAGGGCACAGUGACAUACAGGAGCAAGUUUCUACAGAGUGAUACAUAUAAGGCCAACAGUGCUAAAAACCGAAUUGUGAUCUCAGAAUUUGGCACACUGGC